GCAACGGACCCUGGGAGUCGGCCAUCAUGCUGGCCCCGGAGGCCGUUAGCUUAGUCAUGGCUCUAAAUAUGUACCUGCAAUCGGAUGUUGAGGAUCACCGAGCCCGCGACGUAGAAGUACGGGAAGUUCAUGCGCAGCUGCCAGGCCAGCUCGAAGAAGGCGAGCAGGGUGCGGGAGAGCCCCUUGCAGAAGACGCCGUACGAGGUUCUCCAGCAUUUGGCUCAAGGCCCCAAGGGCACAUGUGACAAGAAGGCGCCAGCUUUUUAAACAUUGGAAGUUCUUCUGUGUCAGUUCUGUGACAGAACAUUUACUUAACACAUCAUGAAGGCUAGUUUGGAUGUGGAGGGGAAUAGACUCCAUCUAUCCAUAUGAGAGUUGGAGUCUCACUCUGUUAUCCAGGCUGGAGUUCAGUGGUAGGAUCAUGGCUUACUGCAGUCUGGAACUCCUGGGCUCAAACCAUCCUCCCACCUCAGCCUUCUGCUGCAGAAGAAUAUUUUGCCUGCUGGAACCUGCUGUAUCUACUCAAGAGUGGAAGUUUUCACAGGGAGCUGACACGUUUCUCCCAGCACAAAGUUGGGAGUGACACCAGAGCCUCCUGCAAGAUGCUUCUGAUUCUGCUGUCAGUGGCCCUGCUGGCCUUCAGCUCAGCUCAGGAUUUAAAUGAAGAUGUCAGCCAGGAAGAUGUUCCCCUCGUAAUAUCAGAUGGAGGAGACUCUGAGCAGUUCCUAGAUGAGGAGCGUCAGGGACCACCUUUGGGAGGACAGCAAUCUCAACCCUCUGCUGGUGAUGGGAACCAGGAUGAUGGCCCUCAGCAGGGACCACCCCAACAAGGAGGCCAGCAGCAACAAGGUCCACCACCUCCUCAGGGAAAGCCACAAGGACCACCCCAACAAGGAGGCCAGCAGCAACAAGGUCCACCACCUCCUCAGGGAAAGCCACAAGGACCACCCCAACAGGGAGGCCAUCCCCCUCCUCCUCAAGGAAGGCCACAAGGACCACCCCAACAGGGAGGCCAUCCCCGUCCUCCUCGAGGAAGGCCACAAGGACCACCCCAACAGGGAGGCCAUCAGCAAGGUCCUCCCCCACCUCCUCCUGGAAAGCCCCAGGGACCACCUCCCCAAGGGGGCCGCCCACAAGGACCUCCACAGGGGCAGUCUCCUCAGUAAUCUAGGAUUCAAUGACAGAUGUGAACUAUGAAGACUUUACUUUCACCAUACCAGAUGUAGAGGACUCAAGUCAGAGACCAGAUCAGGGACCCCAGAGACCUCCUCCUGAAGGACUCCUACCUAGACCCCCUGGUGAUAGUGGUAACCAAGAUGAUGGUCCUCAGCAGAGACCACCAAAACCAGGAGGCCAUCACCGCCAUCCUCCCCCACCUCCUUUUCAAAAUCAGCAACGACCACCCCGACGAGGACACCGUCAACUCUCUCUACCCCGAUUUCCUUCUGUCAGCCUGCAGGAAGCAUCAUCAUUCUUCCAGAGGGACAGACCAGCAAGACAUCCCCAGGAGCAACCACUCUGGUAAUCUAGAAUUCAGUGGCAGAAAAUAAAUAAGAAGAUAACUUCCUUCAGAAAGCCAUGACAUUGAAAUAAUGUGGUCAUAACUCUUUCUUCAGUAUACCAAUAAAAUAUUAAUAGCAUGCAA